rnacentral:lncRNA from 1 species
UUCUCUCAGGAUCCGGGGAGCCGAGCUCGGUCUCAGUCUCCCUGCUGUCAGGUGCCAGGUUGUGUCUGGUGGCUCUCCUUCGUAUGCGGAGCUGAUGGUUUUGCAUCAGCGCUUUUGCCAGUAGAGCCGACUAGCGUUUUCUCAGUUACGGCACCGUUCUUAGCGCCCAGUGUGACGUUUCCCAUUCGCCAGGUCCUUAUGUUCUCUGUGCUGUCACUUUCUUGGUUCUCGCACCGCUAGUAUCUGCUAAAGAACUUCCUAAACCAUGUUUUACUGUGCAGAACGGUGAUUGCACGGAGCCGCUGUACGCACUAGUAAUUUCAUAGCACCGUUAGCUGGCGCUUUUUCUGUCACAACACAUUAAAACGGGUUAAAAUACUGCAAGCGGAUUAAACACAUUAAGAGGAUUAAAACAUUAAAAUGUCUCAACACAUUUUUCUGACACAACACAUUUAAACGGAGUGGGUUCAUUCCUCCGAAGAGGAUGUUUAGGCGUGGAAGCACCGCUGUUUCCCAAGAGCACGGUUUCUCUCUGGCAGCACCACUUAUGGCACCAAAACAGGUAUUUUUUGGCAACACCAGCACUAUUCGCUAGGUGCCGGCGCUUGCUGAGUCCCAGCGCCGCCAGUUUCUCUUUCGGUCGUUAAGUAGCUCAGAGCCCUAGCGGACAGUUUUCAGGUGGCAGUAAUGCUCAUUUCCUGGAACAGAUGGUUCGUGGCCCUUGAAGCGCUGCGAUCUGUAAAGCUAGUUCUCUGCAAGGGCUUUGACUCCUGAGUCUAAAAAGGUCACUAACUCCCGCUAAAUUGAGAGCAAUUGAAGCCUCAUCUUCAGAUCUAGGAGAAGAUGAAAAUCAGAAUAAGCUGCAGUCAUGAGACAUGGCGCCAGAAAUUAAGACUAUUCAAACCCUCUAGUCCCAGGGACUAUUGAAGAAGAAGUGGGUGUGUAAGCUUAUAAGGUCUAGAUCUGUCACCCAGGCUGGAGUACAGUGGCAU